GUAGGCAUAGUUUAGCAAAAACGUUAGAUUGUGAUUCUAAAAACAGGAGUGAAAACCCCCUUGCCCACC
rnacentral:tRNA from 1 species